rnacentral:rRNA from 1 species
AGGUAGUAGUGAAGCGAAAGCGGAACGAUCCUCGGGAAGCCUACACAGGUGCUGCAUGGCUGUCGUCAGCUCGUGCCGUGAGGUGUUAGGUUAAGUCCUGUAACGAGCGCAACCCCUGCCGUUAGUUACAAGUGUCUAACGGGACUGCCCGGCAAAACUGGGAGGAAGGUGGGGAUGACGUCAAGUCAGCAUGGCCUUUAUGUCCUGGGCUACACACACGCUACAAUGGCCGGUACAAUGGGUUGCCAAGCCGCGAGGCGGAGCCAAUCCUCUAAAGCCGGUCUCAGUUCGGAUUGUAGGCUGCAACCCGCCUGCAUGAAGUUGGAGUUGCUAGUAACCGCAGGUCAGCCACACUGCGGUGAAUACGUUCCCGGGCCUUGUACACACCGCCCGUCACGUCAUGGAAGCUGGUAACACCUGAAGCCGGUGAGCUAACCGCAAGGAAGCAACCGUCGAAGGUGGGACUGGUGACUGGGACGAAGUCGUAACAAGGUAACCAAGGGCGAA